rnacentral:rRNA from 1 species
GUCCACGCCGUAAACGAUGGAUACUAGCUGUUGGGGCAACCUCAGUGGCUAAGCGAAAGUGAUAAGUAUCCCACCUGGGGAGUACGUUCGCAAGAAUGAAACUCAAAGGAAUUGACGGGGGCCCGCACAAGCGGUGGAGCAUGUGGUUUAAUUCGAUGAUACGUGAGGAACCUUACCAAGGCUUAAAUGUAGAUUGACCGGUUUGGAAACAGACUUUUCGCAAGACAAUUUACAAGGUGCUGCAUGGUUGUCGU